CCUACGGGAGGCAGCAGUGGGGAAUAUUGCACAAUGGGGGAAACCCUGAUGCAGCGACGCCGCGUGAGCGAAGAAGUAUUUCGGUGUGUAAAGCUCUAUCAGCAGGGAAGAAAAUGACGGUACCUGACUAAGAAGCUCCGGCUAAAUACGUGCCAGCAGCCGCGGUAAUACGUAUGGAGCAAGCGUUAUCCGGAUUUACUGGGUGUAACGGGAGCGUAGGCGGGAAGGCAAGUCUGCGGGGAAAGGCCAGGGCUCAACCCUGGGACUGCAUUGGAAACUGUGUAACUGGAGUGCCGGAGAGGCAAGCGGAAUUCCUGGUGUAGCGGGGAAAUGCGUAGAUAUCAGGAGGAACACCAGUGGCGAAGGCGGCCUGCUGGACGGUAACUGACGCUGAGGCUCGAAAGCGUGGGGAGCAAACAGGAUUAGAUACCCGUGUAGUC
rnacentral:rRNA from 1 species